rnacentral:rRNA from 1 species
AUUGAACGCUGGCGGAAUGCUUUACACAUGCAAGUCGAACGGCAGCACGGGAGCUUGCUCCUGGUGGCGAGUGGCGAACGGGUGAGUAAUGCGUCGGAACGUACCGAGUAGUGGGGGAUAACGCAGCGAAAGCUGUGCUAAUACCGCAUACGCCCUGAGGGGGAAAGUGGGGGGAUCGCAAGACCUCACGUUAUUCGAGCGGCCGACGUCUGAUUAGCUAGUUGGUGGGGUAAAGGCCUACCAAGGGCGACGAUCAGUAGCGGGUCUGAGAGGAUGAUCCGCCACACUGGAACUGAGACACGGUCCAGACUCCUACGGGAGGCAGCAGUGGGGAAUUUUGGACAAUGGGGGCAACCCUGAUCCAGCCAUUCCGCGUGAGUGAAGAAGGCCUCGGUUGU